UACGUAGGGUGCGAGCGUUAAUCGGAAUUACUGGGCGUAAAGCGCACGUAGGCGGCUUGGUAUGUCGGGUGUGAAAUCCCCGGGCUCAACCUGGGAACUGCAUCCGAAACUGCCUUGCUAGAGUAUGGGGAGAGGGAAGUGGAAUUUCCGGUGUAGCGGUGAAAUGCGUAGAUAUCGGGAAGGAACAUCAGUGGCGAAGGCG
rnacentral:rRNA from 1 species